AUACAAACUACCUGGGGAUCUUGUUAAAAUGCAGAUUCUGAUUCAGGAGGUCUAAAGUGUGGCCUGAGGUCUGCAUUUCUAACAAGCUCCCAGAAGAUGUUGAU
rnacentral:pre_miRNA from 1 species